rnacentral:rRNA from 1 species
CCUACGGGUGGCAGCAGUGGGGAAUAUUGGACAAUGGGCGAAAGCCUGAUCCAGCCAUGCCGCGUGUGUGAAGAAGGCCUUCGGGUUGUAAAGCACUUUCAGUGGGGAAGAAAGCCUUGGGGCUAAUACCCUCGAGGAAGGACAUCACCCACAGAAGAAGCACCGGCUAACUCCGUGCCAGCGGCCGCGGUAAUACGGAGGGUGCGAGCGUUAAUCGGAAUUACUGGGCGUAAAGCGCGCGUAGGCGGUCUGAUAAGCCGGUUGUGAAAGCCCCGGGCUCAACCUGGGAACGGCAUCCGGAACUGUCAGGCUAGAGUGCAGGAGAGGAAGGUAGAAUUCCCGGUGUAGCGGUGAAAGGCGUAGAGAUCGGGAGGAAUACCAGUGGCGAAGGCGGCCUUCUGGACUGACACUGACGCUGAGGUGCGAAAGCGUGGGUAGCAAACAGGAUUAAUACCCUAGUAGUC